CCGAGCGCAUAACUCCACAUACAUCCACUCUUAAUUCCACCAACUCCGGUAGCAAGCACUCUGCGCACUGAACCUCAAUGGGCUUCGUUUGGGUCUUUAAUUCUAAUGAGACGCAGCAGUUAGGUUAUUUGAUAUUUAAGCACAGUGAUGCCAGGAAUUAGACGGAAGAGGCAGUGUAAUGAGGUGUGAGUUACCUGUGGAAAACUUCCCCAGACACCCUACUGGUUCCUUCAGAAGGCUGCUUUUAUCUACAUCUUAUGGGAAUCCCAAAGAAUCACUUGUUCCAUCAAAAGAUCACCUGAUUAAUUGUAUCUGACCUCCUGAUGGAAGAAUCGUCUAUAUUAAAAUAAUUUAUUUUCA